rnacentral:rRNA from 1 species
GAAUAUUGGACAAUGGGCGCAAGCCUGAUCCAGCAACGCCGCGUGGAGGACGAAGGUCUUCGGAUCGUAAACUCCUGUCAGACGGGACGAAGGCUUCCGUGCGAACAGUGCGGAAGCUUGACGGUACUGUCAGAGGAAGCCCCGGCUAACUCCGUGCCAGCCGCCGCGGGAAUACGGAGGGGGCUAGCGUUAUUCGGAAUUAUUGGGCGGAAAGGGCGCGUAGGCGGCCCGGUAAGUCAAAGGUGAAAUCCCUCGGCUCAACUGAGGAACUGCCUUUGAAACUGUCGGGCUUGAGGCCGGGAGGGGGUAGCGGAAUUCCCAGUGUAGCGGUGAAAUGCGUAGAUAUUGGGAGGAACACCGGUGGCGAAGGCGGCUACCUGGACCGGUUCUGACGCUGAUGCGCGAAAGCGUGGGUAGCAAACAGG